rnacentral:rRNA from 1 species
AGUUAAGUUGAUUUCUUCGGAUUGAUUCUUAACUGACUGAGCGGCGGACGGGUGAGUAACGCGUGGGUGACCUGCCCCAUACCGGGGGAUAACAGCUGGAAACGGCUGCUAAUACCGCAUAAGCGCACGGUUUCGCAUGGAACAGUGUGAAAAACUCCGGUGGUGUGAGAUGGACCCGCGUCUGAUUAGCCAGUUGGCGGGGUAACGGCCCACCAAAGCGACGAUCAGUAGCCGGCCUGAGAGGGUGACCGGCCACAUUGGGACUGAGACACGGCCCAAACUCC